rnacentral:rRNA from 1 species
UACGUAGGGUGCAAGCGUUAAUCGGAAUUACUGGGCGUAAAGCGUGCGCAGGCGGUUUUGUAAGUCUGUUGUGAAAUCCCCGGGCUCAACCUGGGAAUGGCAAUGGAGACUGCAAGGCUAGAGUUUGGCAGAGGGGGGUAGAAUUCCACGUGUAGCAGUGAAAUGCGUAGAUAUGUGGAGGAACACCGAUGGCGAAGGCAGCCCCCUGGGUCAAAACUGACGCUCAUGCACGAAAGCCAGGGGAGCAAACGGG